GACGUAGGGCGCGAGCGUUGUCCGGAUUUAUUGGGCGUAAAGAGCUCGUAGGCGGCUUGUCGCGUCGUCCGUGAAAACCUGCGGCUCAACUGCAGGCUGGCGGUCGAUACGGGCAGGCUGGAGUUCGGUAGGGGAGACUGGAAUUCCUGGUGUAGCGGUGAAAUGCGCAGAUAUCAGGAGGAACACCGAUGGCGAAGGCAGGUCUCUGGGCCACUACUGACGCUGAGAAGCGAAAGCAUGGGGGAGCGAACAGG
rnacentral:rRNA from 1 species